AAAUGCCAUUUACCUUUAGACUCUGACCUGCUUUCGUCAGGUGCUAACAUGUUCUUGUGGAGAAAAUAAACAUCACAAGCAUCUGGGCAUAUAGUUUUAUAUGCCCUAGGGUUGCACGCUACUUUCCUGAAUGAGAUCUCUCCAGAAAACUCUAUCCACGUUCUCAUUUAAAGGCCAGGUCAUCAUUUUUCAGCUGCAUCCAGAGCCCUGGGGAACAACCUGGGAGGAAAAUAGUGAUUUGCUGAAUCAUCGCCUCUUCCCUGCUGCCCUGGAGGAGGACAGAGGCAUCUGCAGCUAUUCGGUUUCUCUAACAGCAUCUUCUCAUGGCUGCACUGGCGCUAACACCUUGGGAUCAUGGUCCUGCCUCAGGUUCCUCAUAUUAGAUCAGGAUGCCAUCUGCCAUCGCUGGCACAGAAGAUCAAGCCAUGAAACCCAGCAGGGUGAGGGAGGAAGACCUGGCUGGAAAUCAGUAUGAAUUUAUUUCAUGCUCUCCUUCAUAGGGAGAAGAGAGGUUUGGGGGGAAAGCACUGGACUGAAAAGAUCAAAGCAGAUAGGAAUGAGUUAAUGAGUACGCUUCUCAAAAGGAAUAAUUCUCCUGACAUCUCGAGGGACGGGUGAAGGGCAUAUUGCCUCGUCAGUUAAACACAGCCGUUAGUUUUGAGCCCAUACUAAUUAGCCAGCUUACGAAAACCUGCGUCUCAGCAGUUCUAAAAGCGGACGGCAGCCUCUGCCACUCCUCAGCACAGAUAUAUUUGUCUACAUCCUCUCAGAGUGACAUGCUGGUACAGAGGCGGCUUAGUUAGUAGUUAAAAGAGAACCUAACAUUAAGCGAGGCUCCAUCCAGCAUUUUUCUCACUUGCUACAUCCAGGUCAGCCCAGGACAAACCACUGUGAAUAAGGAGUGGGAAGCUCGCUGUGUGCUGGGAUCCCGCUUGCACAACAGAGCAAACUGCAGCCGUGCCAAGACCCAAGUCACUUCCCUCUGACUGCGCUGGCUUGCACCUGCAUAAGCAAGAAUCGUGGUCCCUAAUCUCUACGGAGCUUAACCAGAACAGAGGGGAGGAGGGUAAAGCUCACUUUUGCAGAAAAAAACAUGUGGGAAGAGACAGCAGUAUUACAGCAAGAGCAGAAUACAUGAGAUAAAGAUUCAAUGUUGCUUCAAAAGGCUUUAAAAAGAUUCACUUUCACUCCCAGCCCUUCAUUUCCCAUGCUAUAAUUCAGGGCUGCUAAGCCAUGACUGCACAGAAGGGGCCCUGGAAGCCACUGGUAUGGCUAAGGUGCUCGGGUGCAGUAGUGAUGGGUGCCCAGGGAGGUUCUGCAGAUGUACCAUUUCCACUCAACAGGAGAACCUCAAUUACAGUGCUUAGCUAUCCCUAUUUUUUUUCCCCAGUAAAUGGAUAUUAGAGGUGCCUGGACAGAGCUGCAUAAAGCUGUGAUUCCAGACUUAUUGUCUGCUGCUGUGGAGUAAUCUCCAUCACAUCUCACAGAGGGAAGCACACAGCAUCCAUCUCCUCUGACUCCAGAGAGUCUCAGCUGAAGCACAUCUACAGGCCUCCUGCAGAGCCCUCAGUCCCAGAGUGGCUCUUGCUGCCCAACAGAACCCUUUCAUCACAGUUUCUGUUUGUUCGUGCAUUUGUUUGUUUUUCCUUUGCCACCCCAAACACAAGGACUGGGUGGUUUGGGCUCAGGAAUCUCUCACAAACGUACAUUGACCCUAAUGCCAGGCAAAGGGAUUUUGCUGCUGCUGCAUGCCAGUGGAAGCCACAUUACAGAAAGGAGCAGGAUAUUCUUGCAAUGCACUUCUCUUGGUCUGUUCCAGUGUUUGGGGCUCUUCCAGCAUGCCCUAGUCAAUCUGUCAUCUGCUAAAUUUUGGAGCUGCUGACCCCUUGCAUGGCUGGCACACAUGCACACAUCAGGGUGCCUUGGCUCAGCAGAUUUAGGCUUUCUGAAUCCUAAUGCAGUGCAGAAUUAGCCUCCAAACCCACAGUAGCUCUGACAGUGAAGCCAGGCUGCUCACAUUGGUCCUUGAUCCCACGGUGCUGUGCUUGGGCAGGGGUGUGGGCAGCCCUCAGUACAGCUCCCCAGAAGGCAAGCUGAGCUCUCCAGCAGUACAGGCUCCCCUGCCAUGCCCCCUGAUGCCACCUUGGUCUUGCAGAGAAGGAGCAUGCUGCUCCCCCCCACUACUUUCUUGUAGCAUUUUGUUUAAAAAUCAAUCCUCCAAAAGUAUGUAAAGCAGAACCAUCUGACUUAUUGUCCACAGUGAAUAUAAUUCAUAACUUUACGCCAGAAAUUUACAAUCCCCUUUCGUGUAUAAAAAGUUUCCUGCCACGGUUUUACAUCUACUCCACGGCUCUGCUCUGGAUGGAAACACUUGGUGUAAUCUCUUUAGAGAUAAAUAAGCCCUCUGCUGAAAGUUAAAUGAUGCCAUUAUUUUCUGGAUGUUUAUAGACAUCAUCCUGCCUCGCUCCCAUGCCUGGAUCCAAGACAGCCCCAAUCUUUGUUUUCCAUUUCCGAAAGCUCUGGAGGAGAGAAUGAACACGAGUGUGUAGGAGGGGCAGAGGGGCAGGCAAGGCGAGCCAGAGCUGGUUUCACACACAAACGUGCCUGCUCUGGAGAGCCAAGUGGCAGAUGAUGGACACCCCAGCUGCUUCCUUGGCCAGGAGCGUGUUUAGUCUAGGAUGCAGCCUGGAUCCUAGCAGGGCUGGGAAAGGAGAUGACAAUUGCAAGAGACGUGGGGAGCAGGACCCAGACUCCAGCCAUGGCAAGGAAACCUUCACAGAUAAAAGCCCCUUGAGCAUGGCUGUGCUCCUCAAAGCCGUCCUACUCUUCCAUCACCUAGUUGCAGUGCAAGAAUACAGGGCAGGGACCCAGAGGGAGGAGGUAGGACCAGUUCACAGAGCCACCCUUUCCAGUGACAGCACCUAAGUACCAUUAUCCCAUGUGGAAAUUGAGGGACCUGUGGAGAACACACUGACAUGGGCUGGUUUCCCAGCCUCGAGAAGUUGGCAUUGAAGCUGCAGACGUGACUAAAGCAGAGCCCACAGGAGCAGGGGGCAAAGAUAAGGCAGAUCAUGGGAGAGCUGUGACAGAGGAUGGACUGGAGAACAGCUUUUCUUCCAUUGCACAGAGGCCAAACCCACCACACGCAGUUGCUCGCUGGUACAUCAGCAGAGCAGGAAAAUCAAUGCAAUCUGGUCAGGCUCUUAAAGGAGAAACCAGUCUGAAUGCCCUGUGUCACUCUUUUCUACCUUGAGCUCUAAGCAAGAGGAUAUCAAACGAAAAUAUGUUCAAAAGAGAAAGGCUAUAGUAAUACAGACAUCUCCUUCAGUGGGUUUAGCUGGCAUCGCAACAAUGUCAUGAGCAAGAAGAGAGUUGCCUCUGGCUUUUUCUCCCCCUCUUAUCACUUACAGUCAUCCACUCAAUUAAGUUUCCAAUGCUAUGCUUUCUAGUUUCCCAUUAUCCUCCCACACUCCCAGCAUCUUUAAUAUCACACAUUUAUUUCCACGCUACCUAGUGGUUUGUUACAACCACCUACCUGGAUGGCCUUAUCCCAAGAAAUGGGUAAGAUGCCCUCAUGACCAUCCUAGAAACAGUUUGUCUAUUAUCGAUGACAAAUGUCCCAUUGUCCAGGAACACUCAGCCCAGAAAACAUCUCGAGAUCCCUUCCAGUGCUGCAUAUCCUGGUUUUCAUGAAAUAAUAGCAUGUAUCCACAGACCUGAAAGUAUGUCCAACUACCUAUAUGGGCUUUUUAUUUCCAAGAAAGGCCUGAAUAUUUUUAUUCUACACACUGUUUGCAUUUCCAAUAGUUUAUUAUUACUUUUAAAGAAUCUAGUUAAAAAGGAGAAAUAUGGUUCCUAUGAAGCAGAUACGGAAUUGCCAGAACAGCCUCAGUUUGGCGCAAGUUUUGGAAAUCUGGAAUUAUUUGCUAAGUAAAAGGGUUUUGCUGUUAUAUGAUACAUUAAAUAUUCCCCUAAGAAAUCCUUUAAUCAAGGAAAUGUUUUGUUUCAGGGUGGAAUUGGACUGUGGGCUAAAUCAUCAUUCAUGUUAACUAGAGUUUAAAGUGUCAAAGGUCUGAAACACAUAGGGCAUCAUUUACAACUGGUAAAGAUGGCUUAUAGCUUGCUCUAGGUCAUAAAUUAUCUGUCUGCCCACCUACCAUCUGCACAUUUAUUGCUUGUAUGCCAUUUAAAUGUUUUUUUAAAGUAUUUCAGCUUAAAUAAAAUUAGCAAUGGGCAAAAAGAGAUGAAUUUAAAUUGGCUGCUCAAUUCCAAACCUUAACAGGAAUUUAAAAGGGCUUUGGAAAUGGCUCGAUACAGCCUUGUUUCUCAGUCUCCUACUGAAUGCUGUGUUUUCUCACUGGGGCGGGAGCCACAGGUCAUCCUCAAAUGACAGGAAACCACUUAGCUAAUUUGGUGCCUUUCUGACUUAGUACUUACGCCAUCAGCAGAACAGGUGAUUGAGAACUGCCUCAGUGUUGAAUGUGUUAAUUAAUGCAGCCGUAGGCUGCUGGGCCCUGACAAAGGAGAUGGCUCCUUCUGCAAGUUACUGCUGAAGUCCCUGGGAAGCCGGAGGUAUAAGGAGGUCAGGAACAAACCCUGAACUCCACAGCAGUUUUCUUUAUCUCACAGGAAGCCUGCUUCUAAGCUGUAGGAGAGCAAACCUGAGGCUAUUUGUUUCCAGUGCUUUCCCUUCCCCAGAGUGAGUGGCUUCUGCAGGUUUGUUUCUGCUGGCUUUGGAAGCACAGUGAUUCCAAGUGCAGCAGUUCCCUCAGCCACUUUUAAUUGCUUUGUAGCAUGAGUACCACAGCUCACAGUGCCCUCUCAGAUUUUUGGCUUGCAGUAAAAUCCACACGUAGGUGACUCCAGAGAAGUCCUGCAUGUCUUCCCAUGGUACAGCAAUCUCAUAGCUGCAAUGGAGGCAGCUCUCCCAGUGCUCAAAGACCCUGACCAGAACAAGACACCAGGCAAGAUUUCUAGCAGGCUGACAAUACUGCCUUCCCCCAAACCAGUUUUUAGGCAGCUGUACCUCUGCCUGUGCUUUCUGUGUGCAAAAAACUGCACGCACAUUUUAGGUUAAACCCAUAGCUGGAUUGCAGAUGAUUCGUGAAGUGGCUGCUUCACCGUGGGAAGGCUGGUUAGUGGCUCAGGGCUUCCCCUCACAGCAUGCGAAUCAUCCUCUCACGGAAGGAUCCCAGUUGGAAGGGAUCUCGGGAGAUCCUCAAAGCUGGGUCAGCACAGAGUUUAGUCCAGAAAUGACAUGAUGCGAUUCUUCUGCCAGUCAUGGUGGGAGCAAAACCCUUUUGGCGCUUCCUGCCAAGGAGGUGUGUGGGUGCCUGUGAGAAAGAAGAGGAGGGGAGGAGAUAUGGUCUGUUUUAGGAACCGAGAUAAGAAACUUUACUGGCAGUUGAGCCCAAAAGGCUGUAGGGAAGGAAGGAAGGGAACAGAGAAAUUAAUCUUGGGUGUUUGAGAUAAGAGUCAUGGUUUCAGAAAACAUAUUUUUUUUAUUUAUUCUUCAGAACCUUGAGGACAGGGAGCAAAUUAUGAUAUAUGGUCUAACUCCUCUGAUCUUUUAUGUCAUGCAGGCAUUUGCACUUAGGGCAAGUGACUGAAGAAAAGCUGUGCUGCUGCUUGUGCUACCUCUGCCCAGGAUAAGGACAAAUGGAAUCACAUCAGGUACAAGAAAAAGGAGGAGUCAGCGCAUGCUUUAUCAGUUCUACAUAAUGCAAGCUGGUCCUGAGGGAAAUCUCUCCCUGUCGUGAGACAGAGUAAACCUGGCAAAGGAUAAAAUACAUCUUUAGCCACUACCCAAAAAAGACUGCAUCUUUUCCAUGGGCACCUUUCUUCAAUCAGAAAUUUCUGACUUUUUGGUUCAACCUCCACUGACAGUGGCUUCUUACUGUAGUCAAGCCUGAUCUGCCAGGAUGCCAACUUCAUAUUCUCAGGAUAAUCACAGAUUACAAAUAUAUUUGUUUUAGAUGUCCGUGGCACUCACAGAAAUACAGCUUGCAACUUGUACCUGCCCAGAUCCAGUUUAGGGACAUCUCUAAAAUAGUUGCAUCCGCUUUAAGACAGUUUUUCAUUCAACAGCAUGAGCAUAUAAUAUCUUCAAGGUUUGGUUUCCAAUGCAAUUGUCAUAAUGAUUUGCAACUGGUAGUGCCCCAGUUUGAUGUCCCUGUGCUUUUUUGAGUCAGACAGUAAAGAUGAGGAACUGGCACCAGAGGUUCACCUCAUCACCUUACUAACUCCCAUUUAGUCCCAUUUCAGUGGGAGUUGUAUGUGUCUAAGGACUUCCAUGUCCAAUGGAAUGUCCAAGGACAUUCAAGGUCAGGUUUUCAAAGCUCUCUGGCACGUGCAGGGCUCCUUGGGAUGCUCAUGUUUCUACACUGGUGAAGAACCUCUAAGAGAUGCAAAGUGGGAUUUGGGUAUCUCUAGGAAUCCCCUCUGUCUCCUGCAUCCCUAUAAAGUUUGCUGUAGGGCAGACUCGAAACAGCAAAGGUCCUUGAACUACACCCACUCCCAUCAAUUCUAUAACAAGAAGUUCCUUUUUCCUUCCUGUUGUUUACAACCCCAUAUGGUUUGCUGUGGUAAUUCUCCUGUAACCAAGUUAGGUGGGUGACCAGCAGUACAUGCAAAAGAUGACGCAUAUUCAAAAUGCAGAAACUUUUGUUUCAGAGGAAGAAAAAUCCACUGUUGAUGUCACAAACUUUACCCCAGCAUAGUGAAUAAUUUUUGUCCAUCUUCAUAAUUGUAGGCUUUGUGCCACCAGCAAAGAACUAUCUGUUCUGCACAAUUAAGUUCUUUACUUUAUAGAGACUGACAAGGAGCUUUGUGAAGUGCCAGAAUAAUAACUCCUGGGAGAAUCAAAACAGGGGCAUGGAAACACUUGUACAGCUUUUGAGAAGUCUCUCGCUGUGAGUUACUUUUGGGUGGAUGAAUGGGUAGAUAAAUCAAUAGGCACAUAAACAACAACAGACGGAGAAGAUACACAGUUCACUGAAGUUUAUAGUUCUCUGGAAAGGUAAAUCUUGCAUAGCAGCUCUGGGUUUGCACACAGCAGCAUACUGCAUUGUUAUUUCCUAGGUGUUGUGGCAGGCAUAUCAAUCCUGAACACAGCAGAGCCUCAUAGCAUGCAAUGGAGCCACAAACUCAGAGUCUGCUGUGCUACCCGUACAGGAGCUUCCACAGACCUGUGAAGGUCUAACUGCAAGACAACAGCCUCCCAAGGGAUGGCAACUUUUGCAAAAGGCCAAAUCUAAUUCUGUGAUCCUCCUACUGUUGUAUGGUGCUGUAUUUUCUAAUGUUCAUUCUAUGUGAAACAAGUUUACCAAAUAGGUAAAAGUUAUCCCUAUCAGUUUACAUAAAAUAGACCAGCUACAAAGAAUCCAGUAAUGCUACAAGGUCACUCAGAAAGCUUUUUACUUAGCCAGAAGGAAAACCUUGAUUUCUUGGUCUGCGUUUACGUUGACCAGUAGGGUGGUGUGUGGUAUACGCAGGGAUCUUAUUCCAUUGAAAGUGCAGAUGAGGCACUUUUUCAGAAUAUGCCAGGGCUUCUGUCCAGCUCACAUGCCCUCUGGGGACACCAGACCCUGGAGGGGGCAGGUGGCACAUGCCUGUGUCUCAUUUCAGCACGGCGUGGGAGCACACACCUCAGAAAUGCUCCUGGGUAGCACCAGCACAGGCAUAGUUUAAACUCCUUUCCAACAUUGUUCUUCUUCUCGUUUCUGUCAUAAGCCCAAAGAGGACGGGAGUAUAAUUCUUGUUCUGAUUCGAUUUUCUAUUAAACAAAAGAAACGCUGUGGUGCUUGUCCUAUUCCUGCAGCUACAGAUCCAUGGGUUAAUAUAUAACCAGUAUAUUCCUGAAGCAUUUAAGUUGCUAUUUCCCCUCACUUUGCCAAGGUAAUGAGGUGUUUGAUGAAGGGAGUUCAGCUGCAGACCUGCAAAUGUACAUUCUGUAGGCUAGAGAGAAACCACAACAGGCUCUUGCGUUUAAUAUUCUGAUAAAUUGGGCACUUCUGCACCUUACAUCAGGCAGUGACACAAUGCAGCCUUGUUAAUCCAAAUAGAAACUGUUCCUUCAGUAAUGGAGUCUAGGUCUGUUUCAGCAAAAUUAGAUUUGCAUCGCUAAUUCAAAACACCAUAAAAAUCCAAAGGAUGCUCUGGAAGUGGAGGUUAUCCGCUCAUCUGUUCAGAUAAGUGAAGCAUAAAGCCUCAACCAUGUGAGGAGGUAAUGGAACAAGUUGAUGUCAACAUACAGCAUUGGUUAGUUAGAUUAAAAGAGCAUAUCUGGUGAUGAUUGUUUUCUGAGAAACACAUCAAGAAGUGUAUUAAAACAGCUCAGAAUCACUGAUGGGUUUUGUUAUCUACUGCCCAGUUUUAUAUUGCUGAUAACUCCAAGGCCAUCCUUCUUUUUCAAGACUUUGAACAAUGUAAUUGAGGUUUCUUGGAAAUAAAUCAAUACUUGAUACCACUUCUGAAUAACGUGCUCACCAGACAAUCUGCCUUCCUUAUUGAGACACAGCUAGGAGUCACCGGUGUCAGGGUUUAAGCUCUCACCUUUUUGCUUGUGUGUUUAUUUUGUCAGGGAGGUUUUCUGGUGGCAGUUAAAGCCUCAGCCCUUUCUUUUCCAAGCCACAGCUGCUGUGCUGCAGCACGCAGGCGCUCCACGCCAGAGGACAACCGUGAUCGACUCUUGUUUCAUUAACCCCCUCUGCAAAUGCGGGUGGAAGGCAGACAGUGGUUGAUUGACUGCAGUUUUCAGCUGUCAUCUGCAAGAGCAGUUCAUCACGCUUUGCCUUUCAUUCAUCCUCUGCUCCUCGGUAGUGUACACAGAAAAUGAGAAAGCAAUAGACUCUAAACAGCAUUACUCAGUGGGGAGGAGAAAGGUGCUCUGUGGGGUACUGUCCUAAAACAACUGUGCCCCUGCUUUUAGCUGCACAUGGUAGCACCUCUCUUUGAGGCACCAGGAUGGGAAGUCAUUUUAGUAAAAAAAAUUAUUUACCUUUUUUAAACAUGAUUAAUUCAGGACCUGGCAAAGUUUAGGUAAAUUCUCUGGAGUCUUGAAACUGUUUAGUCUAAAUUUUAAGGGAAACGAAAUUGCACUUUUGAGUGGUUAGGUCAUAGGUAAGCCCUACGACUCUUACUUUUGCUUCGAAAUGAAGCUGAAAUAGGAGGAUUUAGUAAAGCCUCUGAAGGCUGGAGGUUGUGUUAAAAAAAAAA